UUUACGGUUAAUCACCUCAAUUUCAUUAGAUCAAAAUUCUAAAUAGAAGCUCAUUAAUAGGUAGAGUUAAAUUAGGUUGGGGGAGGGGAAAGCUUCGUUUAGACCAUUGAGAAGCAGACGGUGUUGCACAACGAAGGAGAGCGAGGGGUUGAAAGCCGCCGAAGCAGAGGCGUAGAUCGGGCCUUGGCCGCGAUGAGGUUCACCACAAGGGAGGCAAUGGAAGACAUGGGACAACCAGCGUCACAGGUGAAUGGCUUUGCAGAACAAAGCUAUGAGGUGUCCUCUAAUUUUCACCGAGUCCAUGCACUGCAAGUGUUGGGAAAGAUGGGAUGAAUGGUGACACCGUUCCUACGGAGGAAACAGAAGCAAUGAAGUUGUCAAAAGGAGCUGCAGUGAUAGAAGUAGAAAAAUCAGCGAUAAUUGUUAAUGGGAUUGGGUCGUUCGCUGCAAUUGAUUUUUCAUCCGUGACUGCAAAGGACAUCCUUAUGACUGAGUUUAUAAAUUUUCAAGCUGCUUAUGAUUUCUAUAACGAAUACGGUCGCAUAAAGAAAUUCUUGGUAAGGAGGUCGAAAGUGGAGCACAGAACAAAGCAUGGGACGGAUGGUGAAAUCAUUUAGCGGAUAUUCGUUUGCUCGAGGCAAGGAGAGUGAGAGGGGAAACACAUGCAGUGGUGAGGCAGGAAAGUGGUUCCUCGACCAAUCACAUGAUGCGAGUGUGAAGCUCGGAUAAAGGUGCAUGUUGAUGAUACUAGUGGGCGAUGGUAUGUUGAACAAUUUUGUGAUAACCACAAUUAUGUCAUGCUGGAUGCGAGGUUUAGGGGACUGAUGUGGUCACACAGAUCAGUAAAGGAAGGUGAUUUGCACCAAAUCAAUUCGAUAAGGAAAGAUGGGUUGCGAGUGCCAACGAUAUUCCACGCUUUUUCCAAUCAGUCAAGGGGUUGCGAGACGGUUUGGUUUGAAAUAAAGGAUAACUAUAAUGCAAUAGAGAAGCAAAGGCGGGCUAGUGCGAUAGAUGCUGAGACCACAUUGAAGUUUUUGUCUGGUUUAAGGAGUAAUGAUUAUGAAAUGUUUUGGAAGCACUCGCUGGAUGGUGAGAAGAGGCUUCAAAAUCUUUUUUGGCAUGACGGCACAAGUCAUUAUAACUGUAGUGUCUUUGGGGAUGUUUGGGGUUUGAUGCAACGUACAGUCUGAAUAAAUACAAAUACCCGUUGGUAAUAUUCUCAGGGGUGGACCAUCAUAUGAGGACUGUGGUGUUCGGUUGCACGAUUUUGAAUAAUAAAAGCAAAGAUGGCUGCAACUGAGGCUUUGAUUGAGUGGCUAUAUGCAUUGCCUUUUCAUAUGUUGCAUCUGGGUUCGAAUCUUGGCGAUAGCCAAGCCGUAGAUAGAACCCUUGUGUGUGUGUAGGUGUGGUGUGUGUGAGUGUGACCUAGGAUUGGGGGUUAUCCAAUCUAUCAGACAAAAAAAAGGCGAAGAUACCUACGUGUGGUUGUUGUGGUCAUUUCUUGAGGCAAUGAAAGGAAAAGCAUUGAAGUCCGUCAUGACGGAUGGGGAUCUUACAAUGAAGAGUGUGAUUAGUACAAUUUUUCCUGGUGCACAUCAUAGGUUGUGCAGCUAGCAUUUAUUAAGGAAU